rnacentral:rRNA from 1 species
GACGAACGCUGGCGGCGUGCUUAACACAUGCAAGUCGAGCGGAAAGGCCUCUUCGGGGGUACUCGAGCGGCGAACGGGUGAGUAACACGUGAGUAAUCUGCCCUUCACUCUGGGAUAGCCACCGGAAACGGUGAUUAAUACCGGAUACGACACGUCCAGGCAUCUGGUGCGUGUGGAAACUUGUUGGGUGGGGGAUGUGCUCGCGGCCUAUCAGCUUGUUGGUGGGGUAAUGGCCUACCAAGGCUUCGACGGGUAGCCGGCCUGAGAGGGUGACCGGCCACACUGGGACUGAGACACGGCCCAGACUCCUACGGGAGGCAGCAGUGGGGAAUAUUGGACAAUGGGCGGAAGCCUGAUCCAGCAACGCCGCGUGAGGGAUGACGGCCUUCGGGUUGUAAACCUCUUUCAGCACCGACGAAGCGAUCCUUUGGGGAGUGACGGUAGGUGCAGAAGAAGGACCGGCCAACUACGUGCCAGCCGCCGCCGUAAAAC